GAGAAGACAAUUUUCUAACAUAUUAAUCACACAUCAACUUUGAUUUCUAUCUAACCUCUUACAUCUCUUUAUUAUUGAAAACAAUGUUAAAUCUAUCUCUAACCACAAUAUUAAUUACCAACGGUUCAAUUGAAACCAAAAUCACGAUCAAUUCAGGUCAGACAGACAAACCAAAAGCACAUAAUAGACACUAUUCAAUUCGAACACAAACCACAAUCAAUUCAGUUCAGACACACAUACCAAAAGCACCAUCAAUUCGGUUCAAUUCAAACCAAAACGAUAAUCAAUCCAGUUCAGACACACAAACCAAAAGCACAAUCCAUUCCGUUC
rnacentral:lncRNA from 1 species